CAGAUGGAUGGGUCUAGACUUGCUCUUGUGGAGAAUGGGGAGCUGCUGAGUGUUGCCCAAUUGCAUAGUGACAUGAUGAAAGCAGGAAGGAAGAUGUCACAAGGGCAGUGACCUCUCUCUUCUCUUUCUUCUGCAUUUUCCUGAGCUGCCAUGUCUUGUUACAUUUUUCUCAGGGUUUCUCAACUGUAAACUGACAACCAAGCCUCCUCAGGGAAGAUGGAAAACACCCAAGUGAGGCAACAGCCUCCAGUAAGUGGAAAAGAUGCUGAAGCGACCAAUGCACAGUGGAUCCAGGGAGCGGGAUGAAGUGGAGGGGGAGGGCUCUGGGAGUGACCAUGGCAACUGCUGCUGCUGCUCCGGGUCUCAGGGAGGUGAAGGGAGAUUUGAACACACACAGAAAAUAUUCCGAGAAGAUGAUGUGAAGAUGAAGCAGAGAUUUGAAGAUGCUGACUUUGUUUUUGUGCUUUUUUGAAAAAAGAAAUCUGAAGAUCCUUUUAUUUUUAAAUUUUUAUUGGAGUAUAGUUGCUUUACAAUGCUGUGUUAGUUUUACCAUACAGCAAAGUGAAUCAGCUACAUGUAUGCAUAUAUCCUUUCUCUUUUGGAUUUCCUUUCCAUUUAGGUCACCACAGAGCACUAAGUAAGAGUUCCUUGUGCUAUGCAGUAAGUUCUCAUUACUUAUCUAUUUUAUACAUAGUGUCAAUAGAGUAUAUAUGUCAAUUCCAAGGGUUUCCCAGGUGGUGCUAGUGGAAAAGAACCUGCCUGCCAAUGCAGGAGACGUAAGAGACAUGAGUUAGAUCUCUGGGUCAGGAAGAUCCCCUGGAGGAGGGCAUGGUAACUCACUCAAAGCAUUCUUGCCUGGAGAAUCUCAUGAACAGAGGAGCCUGACCGACUAUAGUUCAUGAGGUUGCAAAGAGUCAGACAUGACUGAAGCGAUUUAGCAUGCAUGUCAAUCCUAAUCUCCCAAUUCAUCUUACCUUUUCCCCUUUGGUAUCCAUACAUUUGUUCUCUGUGUCUAUGUCUUUAUUUCUGCUUUGUAAAUAAAAUCGUCUAUACCAA